rnacentral:sRNA from 1 species
AAAUAAACCUGAUAAAGCGUAAAGCCCGGAACGAGGCACGAGUGAGGACUUGCAGCGAUAGCAGGACUUUAG